GACGAACCGUGCGAACGUUGUUCGGAUUCACUGGGCUUAAAGGGCGCGUAGGCGGCUUGCCAAGUCAGGGGUGAAAUCUUUCGGCUCAACCGGGAAAGUGCCUUUGAUACUGGCGAGCUAGAGGGAGGUAGGGGUGCGUGGAACUUCUGGUGGAGCGGUGAAAUGCGUAGAUAUCAGAAGGAACGCCGGUGGCGAAAGCGACGCACUGGAUCUCUACUGACGCUGAGGCGCGAAAGCUAGGGGAGCGAACGGG
rnacentral:rRNA from 1 species